UACGGAGGGUGCAAGCGUUAAUCGGAGUUACUGGGCGUAAAGCGCACGCAGGCGGUCUGGCAAGUCGGAUGUGAAAUCCCCGGGCUCAACCUGGGAACUGCAUCCGAAACUGGCAGGCUUGAGUCUCGGAGAGGGGGGUAGAAUUCCAGGUGUAGCGGUGAAAUGCGUAGAGAUCUGGAGGAAAACCGGUGGCGAAGGCGGCCCCCUGGACGAAGACUGACGCUCAGGAGCGAAAGCGGGGGGAGCAAACA
rnacentral:rRNA from 1 species